rnacentral:piRNA from 1 species
UGAACUACACCAUCACCCCGAAUGGU